rnacentral:lncRNA from 1 species
AGGAGAGGCCUUGUGAUCACCAGAAAUUUGUGUUAAAUGAUUUGAUCCACCGAUUAGACCACAUUUCCAGUUUACAGACUCCAUAUGACAAUCAUAGCAACUUCACUGGGAUAAUAUUAAUAAAGGCAUAACUGAUCAUCUAAAUUGGAUACACUUGUAAAUCAGCCAUGUUAAUUGCCUUUAUGCUUAAUAAAAUUUAAAAAAAGAAUCCACUAAGGCAUUGUUACCUUUGAUACAGUAACUGUGCUUACAUCUAAUAAUAGCCAAAAGGAACACAACCGGAUGAGUUGAAAAGGCAAUUUAAACCACCAGAGACUAUGGGCUCAUCAAGAGAAAUCACUACUCACAGUUAAAGCUAUAAAAAUCUGGGAAGGUAUAGCUGAUGGUUUGACCCAUGAAGAAUUAUCCCAUCAUGCAAUAGUACUUUCUGGGGAAAACAAACAGAAGCCUAUCAACCCAUGCCUUGAAGCUUGAAAGCCAAUGAGCAUUUAUGAGAACAAACUCAGGUCCUCCAGUGUGUUUAGGGUAACCCAGAAAGCGUGUGCCCAGCAAAAGGCUUUUACGUUGGGGAAACAUUAAAAACCAUGCGGUCUAGGGAGCUUUCGAGAGCAAUCACAUGUGAGCCCUGGUGUUAGUGUAUCUUAAGCACUUCUCACGCUGGAGGUGGAUGGUCUGUGUGAGUGAAAGGUUGCUAGGUUUGUGAACUGACAGAAAUAAAACAGAGCGAGAGAGACAUUCCAUCCAUCGGAAGCUGCUCUCCCGCCAUUGCGGGAAUUACACUGAGAGGUAGCUGUUCCCUGGUGGAUUCCCAUGAAGAGGAGUUUCUCUGGUGUGAGGGAGGAGAGGGAAUGCGGACAGAGAUCCUACGCCUGUGCUUCCGUUAUCUGACAGUCUGCAUAUGUGUCGCUGAUUGUGGCAGUAGUUCUGGAUCCUUUAGAAAUAGUUCUGGAUUGCUACGGGAUGCAUUCAAUUAUUGUAUAACUAAAAGAAUUCAUCUAGACAGUUUACUGGCAUCUCCUUUUGGGGGGAGUCUGGCCUUUUGGGGGGUGUCUAUUUGUUGGGGAUUAUCUUGCUUGAUAUUGUUUGUUUUAUGUUCUUUUGAGAUAAGCCCAGGCUGAUUUCAAACUCACCAUCCUCUUCCCGCUAGCUCCUAAGUACCUGCAAUUCAAGUGUGCACCAGCAUGCCCAGCCGAUAAAGCAAAGGCUCUGCUCGAAUGCGUACAACUCACAGCAUUGCAGAAUUGCUAAGGAUGACCUGUUGCUAUCUAGGGGACUUUCUGUGCGACUAUCUGUUUGCACAGAUUUUACCAGGUUGCUCACUGUGACUAUAGACUGAAGCUUUAAUACACAGAGCCCUUUCUAUCCUUUCUAUUUAUUGAAAUCGCUAGUUUCAAAUUUGGAGCAGGAUGAUAGCUAUCUCCUCCUUUCCGCAGAUUCUACAGAAAUGUAUCUCCACCAAGGAGAAUAUGGGCUGUCGAUUUGUCAUUGAUUUCCUUUAAGUCAAGUUGACUUUAAAAAGCUUGUCUAUUUGUUUAGUAAGUUUGCUGCCCCCUAGUGUUCUGUUCAUGUGUUUUGAAGCAACUCUUUCCCCUUCUAAGAAUGGUUCUCAAAUUCCUCAUGAUGUGGUGACCCCUAACCAUAAAAUUUUUUUCGUUGCUAAUUUAUAACUGUAAUUUUGCUACUUCUAUGAAUCCUAAUGUAAAUAUCAGUGUUUUCCACUGGUCUCAGGAGACCCACAGGUUGAGAACCACUGCUCUGACAAAUUCCUAUCUUCCCUCAGCAAAAUCAAACACUCCAGAUGGGUGUAGGUCAUCCCAACAGUAGCUGAAAGCAAAACUUUAAAAAGUGACCAUUCAUAGACACUAAACAUCCAGCAAUGGAAACUAUGGAGUUUGGAAGAAUUUGAGGGUUGUCUUCUGUUAAGGAGAUAGUAUAGCUGUCUGAACUACACAAAGGUUAGCCACCAGUCCUCUCUGCUGUUAACUGUUCAAAGAUAAAAGCACCUAUGAAGUAAUUAUACACUACAGCUGGCAUUGUCUAAACAAUUGGAGAAAAGUAACAUUUCAUCACUAACAAAAUCUUAACAUUCCUAUAACUAGUGAAUCAAAAUUUUUAAUUCGGUGGAAAGCAUGUGUUUCUUUUAAGCCUGUGAAAAUUGGUUACUGGCAGGUGUUCUCUUUAACAGAUCUCACUGUUAAUUUUGAAACCAAAAGUAACCUUGACAUAGAUUAGGGUAAAUAUCUCAGAGCUUCCGCAGAACAUGUGCUCUCGUUCUGAUUGAAUGGCCGCUUCAACUGUUAGUGAUGGAAAAAACAAACAAACAAACAAACAAAACCUCAUAGCCAAAGACUAAACACUAAAAGUAAUAGUAAAUGCUACAAGGCCACUUGCAGCGCUCAACCAACAGUGUCACAUUUUGCAUACACAUAAAUUCCUGUAUGUGUCCAUCCAGACACCCGCUUGGGAUGUCAUCAACCAGGGUACAAGCAUGCCACUAUGAAGUGUUAUUCGCUCACCAUUGGUCACAAGCAACUCCCAGGGUUAUUCUGCAGUCUUUAUAAUCACCACCAUUAACUCUAUCAUUGUAAUGUCAGUGAAACACUAUAAUAGUAUGUGAUGGUAUGUAAUAGCAUGUAAUGAAUGAUAUGUAAUAGUAUGUAAUAGAUGAUGAAACAGUACAAUAUUUCACUACUACUAAGCCCAUGACAAAAUAGCCUAUUUUUUUUAAUGUGGUAAAUAUCAACGGCCCCAGCAUUACAGGGUUACAGAGCAACUCAGUAGGAAUCCUUGAGCCCCUUAAGAAUUCUAGGGGAAUAAUAUGGGAUUGAAGGGGUGGGUGUUUAGCAGCCCUCCCAGAUGGUACUGUGGACUUCACGGCUUUUCUCUUGGUUGGCAUGAAUGGCUUUUAGGGAACCAAGUAACUUUCCUUAGAAUUUUUUCUGACUUAAUAUAUUAUAUAACACAACUAUAUACAUUUCAUUAGGGACAUCAGAUAUAUCAAAGAAGUAGCUAGGGACACAUUCAGUACCUUGAGCAUCAUUUUAUAGAAAAGCAACCACCAUGAGAGCAUCUAGCCUGGUGGGUAUCAU